rfam:Microgenomates (Woesebacteria) bacterium GW2011_GWB1_43_14 TV74_C0013, whole genome shotgun sequence.
CGGGGUGUAGCUCAGUUGGUAGAGUGCACGCUUUGGGAGCGUGAGGUCCCCGGUUCGAGCCCGGGCACCCCGA